rnacentral:lncRNA from 1 species
AUGUUGUAUUUUUUUUUUCCAGUCGACAAGCUGAUCUUGGCUGCAUUAACAGCCCCUUCCACUCAUCUGCCUCUGGACAGACCCUGUCUUGCAGGACUUUUCUUGGGACUCAGGGUUAGUGCAGUCUGGCAGCAGCUGUCUCAGUCCUUUGGCACACCUUGCUGGUCAAGUUGAGUUUCUUGAUAUAAUUCUCAUUUGCAUUGUGGGUAAUGGCAUCUCAUGACUGCUGGUCUAUAAAUCCUCUGAUCACUUCUCUACUCUUAACUUUCUCAAACUUUCAGAAACAUUCUACUUUGACUUUUCCAUCCUUAUGGAAAUCCAUCAUUCCCUUGUCUUAGGCAAAAUUAACUCUUUGGAUUCUCCCCCUAUCUUCCUAAUCCCUCUUUCUUAGUCUUCUCUGAUUUCUCCUCUACUCUCAAUUAUAAUCCAGAGGCCUCUUCUCUAGCACUCCAAUUCAUUGAAGUUUUGAAUAAUAUCAGUAUGUCAAUGACCUAAUACUUACAUCAGCUCUUACCUCUUCCAGGAAGCACAGACUUAUACUCACAUAUGUAAGUCCUCCUUGACAUAUCCGUGUAAAUGUCAGAUAUGCAUCUAAAAAUGAACAUAUUUGAAACAGAACUCUUGAUUCUUCCCCAAAUGCUACUCCUACCCAUUCUAAAACAGUACUUCCAUCCAUUCUGUUCUUUCCUAUCUCAGUGAAUGGUUUCAACAUCCUUCCAAUUUCUUAAGCCAAAACCUUGGUGUUAUCCUUAAUUGCUUACUUUACAUAAUCCCGCAUAAGCAAUGUAUCAGAAAGUCCUCUUGACUUUACAUCCAAAACAUUUUGCUAAUAGAGCCUCUUCUCUUCAUUUCCAGUGCUAUGACCCUAAUCCAAGCCACCACCAUUUCUCUUUCCAUUUCACCAUUUCUUAUUUGGACUAUUGAAAUAAUUUCCUAAGUGUUCAUCUGCUUGGUGGUUUCUAGUUUUCUCUUGAAGAAAAAAAAAAUCCAACUUCUUUCUCUGGAAUAUGAAGCCCUUCACAAUCCAGUUCCUGGCUUCCUCUCCCCAACCUUCUACCAGUUCUGCACUCUCUCACCCAACUCCAGCCACAUUCACCUGCUCUCUGUCCUUUGGUUGCAUCAAAUUCAUUCCUCACCAUGAACCUUAAGUCAACUGUUCCUCUGCCUGCAACACUUACACCUUCAUCUUUGUAUGGCUGGUUCCUUUUGAUUGUUGGGGUCUUGGAAGAAGGACAGAGCCCUUGGCAUGGCCAUCUAUGACCAUGACUUGGUUGAAGGGGCACCUUGGUUUUUCUCAAUCACCUCAUCCUAUUUUAAGUGCAUCAUAAGACUUAUCACCUGAGUUAUUUUGAUUAUGGGUUUCUUUAACAUCCUCCCUCUCCUACAAGAGUUUAGGCUUAAUGAGAGCAAAAAUCUUGUCUUAGUCACUGGCUGCAUCUUUAAGGACUAAUUUAAGGACUGACACACAGUGGAUAUUAAAUAUUUACUGCAUGAGUAAACUAAUGAAUCUUGCAUGCAAAAAUCACUUAACAAAAUUUUUAAAAAAUUUUAAAUGAUGAACUACUGCAUCAUUUGAUUUUUAAAAACAUAUUAUGGGUAAAUUGUACUAUUAUGCACAUUUUGAGGAUGAAUCUCAGAGAAGCCUUGUGAUAUUCUGAAAGUACAAAAAUCUUGAUGUGAGAGGGGUGGUCACAGCUUUUCUACAUUGGGCUUAAAUUUAAAACAGCACUUAGCUUAAAAGAUGACAUAUUAUAUGCACUUAAAACAUGUGUGCUGAGUGGAGUAACUAUAAUGAAAAUGAUGGGCCAUGCCUUCACAUUCGCUAAUUCGCAGUGCAGUGUAAUCAAUAGAUAGUCAUAUAUGUUUGAUGGAAAAUUGAAAUGAAUGUUAACUUUCUUUUAUCUUUAGUAUUCAGUCUUUCUACAUCAUGCAUAAAAUGCUUAUUUAUUAGUUAUAAUUGGGUACCUAACUGAACCAGUUUGGAGAAAUUUUUUUUUGGUCUUUCUAGGGCUGCACCCAUGGCAUAUGGAGGUUCCCAGGCUAGGGGUCAAAUUAUAGCUGUAGCCGCCAGCCUACACCACAGCCACAGCAAUGCCAGAUCCAAGCCACAUCUGAAACCUUAGUUCAGAAGUUACACCACAACUUNGCAAUGCCAGAUCCAAGCCACAUCUGAAACCUACACCACAACUUAGGGCAAUGCUAGAUCCUUAACCCAUUGAGCAAGGCCAGGGAUCGAACCUGCGUCCUCAUGGAUGCUAGUCAGAUUUGUUUCCACUAAGCCACGAUGGGAACUCCAGUUUGGAGAAAUUUUUAAAGAGACAACCAUGAUAACAUUUGAGAUGUAGAGUAUCAGGAUUAUGGAUUUGGUAUUCGCUGAUCCAACAUUUUUAAAACUUUAGCAACAAUGCCUGGAAAUGAAUUAAAAACUAAACUAACUGGAGGGUGUUCUGGGAACACAGCUAUAGCAAAGAUAUAGUUUAAAGAUAAAGUUUUUUAAUAUUUCUGAAAAACCAUAGAAAAAUGAGAUAUCAAAAUCAGAACCCAUGGACAAAAUUUACAACAAAACUAAGUGACUGGUAUCCCCAAGAAUCCCAGAAUCCAAGCCUGUCAGGAUAACCCACCAAUAGCCAUGGACCUGAGUAGCAUCAACAUCUGUGCUGACAUCAGUAGAGAGAAGCAGAGACUAUAGCAGAGAGAAGCAACAGGACUUCUGAAGGACCUGAGACAAGAGCCUCUUACUAGCCAAAUAGGAAUUUGUUUUAAAAUGCUCUGAACGAAUUUGAGAACAGCAGCUGAGGCUGAGCAUAGAACAGCAGUAGCAGAAUCUAUAGAAAUGCUUAAAGGGGCUGUUGGAUUUUUGGCUGCCAUGAAAAUUUUAAACUGAGUGACCAGGGCACCCUUCAGGACAUAGUCCCUUACCAUUAAAAGGAUUCAGUGUUGGAUGUGUUAGAAAUGAGAGGGAAGGUAUAAGAAUUCUUUAAAAAGUGCUGGGUCACCAUGCUGUACAAUAGGAAAAAAUAAUGUAUUGGGGAAAUAAAAAAAUUAAAGUAAAAGAAAAUAAAUUUGCA